GCAGGGAGGCGCCGCCAUGAGCCCGCCUGAGGUGGAGCCGCUUGUGUGCCAGAAGUACGAGAUCAAGAGGCGGCUGGGCAAGGGGGCCUAUGGCAUCGUCUGGAAAGCAAUUGACCGCAGGACAGGAGAAAUAGUUGCUGUUAAAAAGAUUUUUGAUGCUUUCAGGAACAGGACAGAUGCUCAGAGAACAUUUCGAGAGAUUAUGUUCCUGCAGGAAUUUGGAGAACAUCCAAAUAUCAUCAAGCUGCUCGAUGUUAUCCAAGCUGAGAAUGACAAGGACAUCUACCUCAUCUUCGAGUCCAUGGAGACAGAUUUACAUGCUGUUAUUAAGAAGGGGAAUUUGCUGAAAGAUAUCCACAAGUGUUACAUUCUCUAUCAGCUCCUGAAGGCAACUAAAUUCAUCCACUCAGGGAAUGUCAUUCACAGGGAUCAGAAGCCUUCCAAUAUCCUGCUGGAUGCAGAGUGCUGUGUGAAGCUGUGUGACUUUGGGCUGGCACGUUCCCUGUGCCAGCAGGGCAAGGACCAGGCCAGCCCUGCGCUGACCGAGUACGUGGCCACACGCUGGUACCGGGCCCCCGAGAUCUUACUGGCCUCUCGCAGUUACACUAAAGGUGUAGACAUGUGGAGCAUUGGCUGUAUUCUGGGAGAGAUGCUGCUUGGGAAGCCUCUUUUUCCUGGAACAUCAACAAUGAAUCAAAUAGAGCAGAUCCUAAGGGUCAUCCCUGCUCCGUCCCCAGAAGAUAUUUUGGCUCUGCAGUCAGAGUACAAGGCCUCAGUUAUUAACCACAUGAGUUCCCGGCAGCGAGUAACAUUUGAGGAGAUUUUCCCACCCUCUACUCCACUGCCUGCCUUGGAUCUGCUGAAGAAACUUCUGGUAUUUAACCCUGACAAACGGCUCACAGCAGAGGAGGCUCUGCAGCAUCCUUAUGUGAACAGAUUCCACUGUCCUUCCAGGGAGCCCUCUUUGGAUUAUAAUGUGGUCCUUCCUUUGGGUGAUGAUGUCCAACUGUCUGUGGCAGAUUAUCGAAAUAAAUUAUAUGAGUUGAUCCUUGAAAAAAAAUCAAGGAGCCUUCUAAAGGAGCAAGGGAGGAGAGAAAACAUUCAGCUGAGCCAGUCUGAAUCUAGCCCACUUCUCCCAAAUUUCAGCUCAGUGACUGUACCCACCAGAAAAGACCAGCAAGAACCAACAAUUCCUCUCCCAAACCCUUCACAUGUGCAUGCUGGAGCCACAGCUGGAGUCCAGCCAACAGGAUCCAGCCAGAGCAAGGAUUUGGCCAGAACUGUGUGUCAGAGAUCACAGAUCAGUGUGGUGAUGUACAACCCCAUCACACACACCACUGUGCACAGAAAUGCAAAUCCUUCUGCUGGGAUCAGGAACUUUUCUGCACCACCUCAACAGCCCAGAAUCUCCAACACUGGGAAAGGGGGGAGACAAAUCUCAUGGACAAACACUGGGCUCCCUCCUAGAAAUGUGCAGAACCUUUACAAUAAUCCCAGAAACUCUCAGUGUCACAGCAAAGAUGUUCGUCCCCUUCUGAAGCCCAGUAAAAAGAUGUUCCAGAUCACUGCAAAUGUGGGAGCUGCAGGUGAUCCAAGAGCAUCGAUGGGCAGCUACUCCCAGGCCUAUGGAACCAUCAGUAAAUCUGCGCUGCAGAGUCUUCCGAUAACAAAGACCUCCCAAAACCCUGAGCAGUGAAUGUGGAGAUGUUCCAGCCAGAAAGCAGAGUUCCAUGAGAUACUAUUGCUGAGACAUCACGAAGGUGUUACCAGCCUACAGUGGGACUACAGGAAACUUUAUAUUCUUAUUUUAAUGUGGAUUUUGGAUACGUUCUCCUCAUUAACUUGAAGUUCUUGUCUAUGUCCCCGAAGUUAUACUCCACCUGUGAUAAAUGACUGUUAUUCCAGAACAUUGGGAAUGCAUUUACCAAGGGGAUUCAGGUGCUGAAUUGCAGCAUGUGAGUACCACUGCCAUUGGCUGAAUUGCCAUUUUACCUUCUAGUGCCUGAACACCCAAGGCUACUUAAUUAAAAAUUAAUGCCUUCCCCUUGGUCACAGGUGUGGUCAUUGGAGUCUGGUAACAGGAGGGAACCAGGAGUGCAGCUCACAGGGAAGUCCAGGUUUAUUGUGAUAUAUUCAUAGCACAAGUGUUUCCUGCCUAUCUGAGGUACAGGAAGAUGUAGGAGUGGCAGUGCCAGGUGAGCCUGUGGUGUGGGCAGAGCUCUGGUCAGUGGGUUGGCUCCUGAGUGUCCAAAUGCCAGUUGUCAGGCACGGAGAAGGGCAUCCAAUUCCGGCUGUGACCUCCCCUGGAUCCUGGCCCCUCACAGCAUGACAGCCAAGGUCCUCUGUGACCCCCAUCCCAGACUUAGAGGUGGUGGGCUGGAAGGUCUUCUUACAAUAGCUUUAGUUGCUGCCGAGGGAAUUGGUUCUUCUGCAAUAGUUGGUUGUGCCACCUGCAGCAAGUGGUCACCUACCUGUCACCAGCAGAGCUGUGUCACUCAGGCUCUGGGCAGAAGCAUGUGUUCCACCUGAGCAAGAGAAAAUCCUAAACAUCUAAAUAAGUACAGCAAAAUUCUAAAUUGCUAAUGUAACCUCUCACUGUCACAAAUUCCAAAUUUGUCUGUUACAGAAUGAGGCUGGAGCAGGUGGGUUUGAGAAGGGCCAGGAAGGUGUGGAAUGAUGUAUGAAUUGCACAAACAGAGUUAGAAUAUAUAUGUACAUACUGCACUAGAGUAAAAUAAUCUCUGUAUUGGCUGACAGAGAACAACUGUUGACCAUUGCAGUUCCUUUUGGGACCCAUCAUAACUCAAUCUGAAUGAUUAAUCAGAGCAGACAAAAUAACUCAUUUAUGGCUGUGGACAUGUAUAAAAGAUCAUGGGCUGUAUCUGAGAUGGGUCACAAUGUUCAGUUUUAAACUAAAAGAGGAGAUAUUUAGAAACGAUAUUGUGAAGAAAUUCUUCCCUGAGAGGGCGGUGAGUUCCUGGCACAGGUUUCCCAGAGAAGCUUUGGCUAACCCAUCCCUGGAAGUGUCCAAGACCAGGUUGGAUGGGGCUUGGAGCAACCUGGGCUAGUGGAAGAUGUCCCUGUCCAUGGCAGGGGGUGGGGCCAGGUGGGUUUAAUGUCCCUUCCCACACAAACCAUCCUGUCAUUCUGUAAUACUAUGAAAUGGGUAUAAGAAAUCCAUUUCAACUUUUUUUCCCAAUUUUGGCCACUUCUUCCAUCCUUUUUUUCCUCUUUUGUCUUCUCUUAAUUUUAUUGCUUAAUGUACCUCCUCAUGUUACAACAAAGCUGUUCUUGAUUCCUGCAGAUUUUUACCACCAUUUGUAUUAAAAUGGAAAUCGGCUCUAAUUUUUUUUUCCAGAUUAGACAGUCGUUCUGCACAUCCAGUUCCCAAGGUUUUCAGCAAACAGUAAAAUAAUCAUUAACUGUUACAGAUAUGUAAGUUCCAUCCAGAUAUGCUGCCCUGGGAGCUGGCAUCCCAGGAAAAGCUAAAGUUUCAAAGACUCCACUAGUGCUGUGGGCAGCCUGUGUCAGGACUGGACAAUCCUUUCCAGGGUUCUGGAAGGAAUUUUCCAAAUAUCCAACCUAAACCUCUCCUGGCACAACUUGAGGCAGUUUCCUCAAGCUGAAAAGGCCUCCUAAAACCAGGCCCAUCACCAUCAAUAGCACUUCAAUGCCUUUUUCAUGGCCUUUUUAGCUGCUCCUUUAGCUGAGUCCUUAAAGCAAAAAAUUCCCUACACAUGGGAGAACAAAUCCCAAGCAAACCAGACCCCACAGGCUCAGGAACUGGUAAAUACAAAAGCUGGGCCUGUGCUGCUGGACGAGGCCAGAGCCACAAAUUAGGGCAAAAAGUUGGUUACAAUAUUUUUUUGUCUGUAAAUCUUCAAAAAGAUGCCUCCUGUGACUGAUUCACUGUGAGAUACAGAGAAAGGAUAACUGUACCUGAGAAACAACACUUUUUAAACACUUUUUCCACGUGUGUGUCUGUGUGUAUUUAUCUUUCCUAGCCUGAACUCAAGUAUAGAAUUUUCUAUUUUUAAUUCUUUUCUUCUGAAAGUGGAAUUGUUUUGUCAGCUGAAAAUAUUCCUUGGGUGUAACAGAGACUUUCAGUUUUGCACAGUAACAGAACAGAGAAUUCUUUUUAAAAAAGAGACUUUUGUGUUUUAGGCAUGUUGGCAAUUCAAUAAUUUUAUUUGGAACAUAGUGUAAUAAGGUUGUUUGAUACCACCUGACUUUAUGGAGAAAACUGUGCCAUGGGAGGCUCAUGCUGGACAUGUUUCUGCUCACUUACCAAGAAGAGCAUUGCCUGUGAAGUUUGUAGCCAUCAUAAACAAGUUUCUUCCUCCUUCCCCUGUGACAGUCAGUGAUUAAAUGGAAUUAAAUAGGAUUGUUAUGAUCAUUUUUUGGUCUUGAAGGUCCCCAAGAUUUUGGGCAUGAAUUUUCCCAUCUUCUUGUCUUUGGCAUCUGUGUCAUAUUCCUCUUCACUCGGACUCAUGUGUUCGUCCUUCUUGCAGAACACCUCAAACCUGCUGUAGACUCGCUUCUCCUUCCGCAUGUUCUCCAUUUUUUUCAGGAGGGUGUCUCUGUCCUCCGACGGCUGUCGCUGAAGGUUCCGUUUCUGGCUCCCAAAGCUCUCCGACCUGUGGAUGUUGCAGCUUUUCUCCUUCUCCCCUCUCCUUUCCAAGCUUGUGGUUGACCUGGAAAGGUCAGGGUUGCUGGUGGAUGGCAGCUGCUUGGCCAGCUCGGCUCUAUUCUUCUGGCUGUUGGCAGAGAUCUGCUCCAGGAUCACCUUGGUGUCAUCACGCAGGUUGCUGCUGUACAGGAUGUUGGCUGUGGAGGAAGGGAACCUCCCCUGCGUUGUCUGGCUGCUCUUGGGGGGGAGUGGUGCUGCGAAUUUGUGAGAUUUUUCUUCCUCCAUCGCUUCCUGGCAGUCCCCUAUGGACGAUCGUUUGAGCACCACUGCCUGCUUGUCACAUUUCCCACUUUCAGAAGCAGGUUCCUCCUCAAAUUUCUUUUCACCUUUUGGGUUUAAAAACUGCUUCAGUCGUAGUGACCCUUUUCUUAAAAAUUCCAUGGGAUUUUGCUCUUGUUUUGAACAGUCUUCCUCAGAUUUAUUGAGAGAACUGUCAGAUCCUUGACUCCUAGACAGGCUUUCCAGAGCUGAGGAUGUGGUACUUGUCCUAACUUGUGGUUUCUUCAUUUCUGUGUUGACUAACUUUGGAGUGUCUUCUCUGAAGGUCACCCUGUCCUUCUUCUCUGGAAGAGCCAGUUUCUGAGUGUCUCCUACAUAUAUCAGACUCUCCUUCUCUGGAAGAGCAGGUAACCUGAAACAGCUUUGGUGUGGGUGACUGUGCCCCGCUCCGUGUCCUUGCCCACGGCUUUGUACUUCUCCAGCAGCUCGGCCACUUUGGAGGAGGCAGCCAUCUUGAUGGUUUCAUUGUCCUUUGUCAACUCGCUGGACAUCUGCUCUUUUUGGAUCAUCUGCACCUUUUCUAUUGUGGUGUUGGGCUGAUCUAAUUUGGCAGCACUGAAAAUCAGAGAGGACCUGAGCCUGGAACUCCUUUGGAUCAAGGGAUUUAUCCUGGACCUGAAGGCAUCUGGUUUCAUUAUCGAGGUUUCUUCACCUGCUCUAUCAGGAUCCACAACUUCCUUGGCACUGUCAAUUCCCAAUGCCUUGCUAUUGAAAGAUGUGGGGGAUUUGAAGGCUGGCACGAGGUCAGUGGGGUGCUUUGUGAGGGGAUCCCCAAGAGCAUCAUUAUAUGCCUCGGACUCCAUCGGCAUCGGGAGCCCUUCAUCUGGUUCAGACUGGUACGCGCUGAGGUAUGAAGAUAUUCUCCAGUUCCGUAACCCUGUUCUGUUUUCCUGUGUGUUCUUGUCAUCGUCCUGGUCCUCAUCCUUGUCCUGUAGGAACAGGCGCUGCUCCAGGCUCUGCUUCUGUGUGGGAGAAGUCUGGCAAAUGAACUUCUGUCCUAUAUUCUGCCUCCGUAACAUCAUUCCCAUCGGGCCAUUGCCUGCAGGGUUCAGCUGGUCGGAGCCAUGUCUCACCUCCCUGGAAGAAUUUGAGGGUACAUAAUCCAGCCGUAAGGGGAAACCCUCCUGUGAGAAACUGGGUUCCAGUUCAGGGUAUCGGGGUCCCUCUCCAUAGUCUUCCAGUUCAUUGAAUCCUGGCCUUCCCCCUCGAAUCCUCUCAAAGAAUCCCUGAGGUCUGCCAGAGAGAUGGGGAUGUUCAAACUGGUACUGGUAGAACUGGUCCUUCUGGAAAUGACUGGAUUGGAUUUUGAACUCAUCCAUGUUGUUCAUGAACAUCUGCCGGGCGUACUGCUUGGAAGAAGCAAAAUUUUCAAAUGUUCCCUCUGCAAAACUGUGUCUCUUAAAGGCAUCCAGUUCUAGCUGCUUGGAACGGAGGAAGCCCCUGACCGGAUCCAUCUGGGAAUUCUCCAUUUCCACCUUUUUAUACAUCCGCAUGGCUGACCCCUCCACGGUGUGCCGCAGCAUGUCAUCCCGCCGAAAAUUGGAGAGGAAGUACCUGUCCGGAUCCACUCUGUCCAUGAAGGAAGGGAAGAGACUGUCAUCCCUCUGGAACAUCAGCGGGCCUUUUUUGGGAAAGAAAGGCAUGUUAUUGCCAAAGGGAGCCAUGGCAAAGGCGUUCUCUGCCUUUGCCAGCACAUUGGCUGGAGGAACGAGAGGUUCCGACUGUGCAAACAAAAUGCGGAAUUCCUCAUCAAAGCUGGCCACCAGCUCGCCCUGGAAGAUGUGCGCGAUGCUCCUGUGGAUCUUCUCAAAGGACCACAUGAAACUACAGAGAGAACAGAAGUGAUGGAGGGUAUUAGCAUUGAGUAAAUCAGCUGUACCCCUUUUCAUUAAAGCAUUUGCUUGCCUGAAGGAAA